UUCAGAAAAUGGAAGAGUUUACAAAAUAAGUGUGAAAACUUUCAUCUCAGGCAAGAAGUUGUGGGUUUACCGUUUGAAGGCUGGUGUACCUAAAAACUUCCUUGACAGAAUUAUGAAGGCAAUGGAUUAUAAUGAACCAUACAAUGUACAUUUUCACAACUGUAUUCAUUUUGCAAUGAGACUGCUGGAGAUCUCAAACGGGCCUGAAGCAACAGGAUAAGCUACAAUACCGCUUAAUUUAACAACACUAAAUCACAGCAGAUAUGAGCGCAACAACUCAAUAAAAGUCAGCAGAACCUGUUAAAAUCAAUGAUGCUGUUCACACUUGUUUCUAAUAUGGACAGUUUAUACAAACCCAUAAUAAAACACACU